CGCCAUCAUAUUUAGGAAAGGUACAACACUGUGCAGUACUUUACAGUACUCGAUAUUGAUAAAUACUGACGAGAGUUUCAAAAGCUCGCUCGUAUAUAUUUGCCCGCCAACUCUCAUCGACUCUCAUCAACUUUGAGCUGGUUCAAAUUUUGAUUUGAGUUGACGAGCGUUUUUGCUAGUUUAACUUGAAAUAUCCAGCCAAGUCUCAUUAACUCUCAUGCAACUCGUGUUCUCGUUUGACUCGCUUGCCAACGCUCUCAUCCUCGUUUGACCGGAGCUUAAAGCUGUCUGAAAAGGCGGUCCGAACUGAAGGAAUGAACUAUAUAUAUCUUACUCACAUACCAUUGCACUUCGUUUGAAGUCCUGUGCUGUUAAAAUCCACUCAUUUUGGUGUUUUACAUUUCUUCCUCGCUGUUCAAAUUUCUCUUUCAGAUACUUGGAAUAUUCCACCCCAAAGCUUGCAUGGCUCAUGCAACUCUAAACUGUCUGGCGGCUUACAUGAAC